rnacentral:rRNA from 1 species
UGGUGGAGUGAUAUGUCUGGUUAAUUCCAUUAACAAACAAGACCACUGCCUGCUAAAUAGCCCAGCAAGUGAUUUUUCACUGACUGUUGGCUUCUUAGAGGGACAUGCAUUCGAUUAGAUGCAGGAAGAUAGGGGCAAUAACA